ensembl:lncRNA
GCGGCGGCGGCGGCCAGCCCCUGCGCCGAGGCGGCGGCGGCGGCGGCUGCGGCGGUGGCGAACAGCGCGGCCGGGGACCCGGCUCGGCGUCGGCCGCGGCGGCGGGGCAGGGCGAGGCGGCGGCGGCGGCGGCGGCGCCCGCGCCCGCGCCCCCCACGGCGGAAGCGGCGGCCACCCCCUACGUGGGGCUGCGGCGGCCCCUGGGCUACCAGCUGGCCAAGGCCACCAAGGAGCGCAUCUGGCGGGGGGAGUUCAUUGACCUCUUUUCCUUGCUCCACACAGAGCUGACCCCCGAGCACGGCCCGCACCCGGGGGACACGCUGGACCAGUGGGUGUCGGCCUUUCUGGUGUACGCCAGCGUGGUGUGCGAGAAGCACCCGGCGCGCUGCGGGGCCAUGUUCAAGUACCUGGACACCAUCCGUAAGCUGCACGCCACCUACGGGGGCACCUCGUGGAUGAACUACGACGAGGACUUCCGGCGGCGGGCGGCCAAGGACCCCAACCUGCCGUGGGGCGACGUCGACCUGGACCUGUGGAUGAAGUGGAUGGCCCCUCUCAAGUCGCUCCUCAGCAGGCACAAUCGUAUCGAGAGCGAGCCGAAGGCCGCGCCGCCGGCACAGCCACCGCCUUCAUCGUCGUCGUCAUCCCAGAGCCCCAAGAAGGAGGAGAAGAGCCAGACUCCGUGAAAGCAGAAGGCCAGUUGGAAUGGCAGGCAGGAUAAGCGGCCUGACUCCGUUGGUGUUUAAGUGGAGCUCUGGUAUUCUAGUGCAUUCUUUUACCUCUGCUUCUGUUGCGUUGCAAGCUGUGCUAGAGAAGACGUAGGAAAUUCAUUUUACCCAAUCAGCAAUUGUAACAAUGGACUACAAACCUGCAGAGCAAGCCAGUUUGCUGGAAAACAGGAAUUCCUGCAGCGCAGCACUUGUCACAGACUAUCCAAAGAGGGCAAAGAUUCAGGAGAGUGAAUAAAUUGAACAUUGAUUGAAUGAGGUCAGGAACGAUCUCCCGGAGGAGAGCCCUGCCCUAAAAUACUACUUUGAGAGUAUAAGCCAAUUUAAUGCGCAGAUUAACCCUUCUCAUUUGAGCAAACUUGUGUGCAAUCCUGGAUCUUUGCAGAUCACGACUGGACACUUCAAAAAAAAAACAAAAUCUGUGUACUAUAUUUGCUUAAAAAAUAAAUCCUACCUUGUCUUGUUACACCUGUUAAUUUUAGCAUUUCAUUGACAAUAUCUGCAACAGAAAUGUAUAUUUGACUUGACGCAGUAUCCUACAUUUGGUAUAACUCAGGUUGUUGACAAAAUUAUUCUGUGAGGCUCAGUACCACCUCUUCGUUCUGCUCUGAACAAAGUUCUUUAACCAUUGCUGUCAUUUCCAGAAGUAAUUUAUAGCCCAUGUAUGCAUUGCAAAAUUCUUGAACGGAUUUAAUAGCUGACCUAAAUUAUUGUUCUUGUUUUAUCCUCAUAGAAUAGUUAGCAUCUUGAACGUCAGACCAGACUUUUGUGGUCUGACGUUCAUGAAAAUCAUUCAUUGGUUCAUGGUUUAAUUGUUUUACAUCUCCGUAUUUUGUUUUCUUUUCCUCUCCCCUCGCAUACUAGGGAGUAUGAUCAAGGUAAUACUAUGAUCCAGUAACGCGCUUGAUGGUAAGGGUUUGCCUUUAGUUGUUUCAGGAAAAAAAAACCAACUGCCAUUAUCUGCUCUCCUUUAACUUUCUUGAUAGUUUCAAUAAUAUGCUUAACAUGAAGUGUUUGUAAAUCGAUUAAAAAAAAAAUGUUUGUGACUUCACCUAAAUAAAUUUUUAUAUAUAUGAAUACUGUUCUUGAUCCUAGUCUUUGGUUUUUUCCCCCCUCCCUUGCUCUUACAUCGUCAUUUCCCAUCCUGUAGUCACCUUUUUCCGUGACCUGAGCUUUUACAGAGUUCUUGUUUUUCAGUUAGGAAAGCACAACAGAGCCAUAACUGUUGUCGAGAACAAUAAUCAGCCUCUGAAGUUGACUUUCAGUGUUUUGAUAUUUGAAGGUUGUAACCGUAGGUGUCAUAGCUUAUUGAUGUUUGCUGAGACAACAGCAGGUGUCAGGCCUGGAUCUGUCUCACAAUGUAGUAUCUGCAGUAUUGAAACACCAGUAGUUCAAGUGGUCUCUGAAAUGGGAUUCUAAUCCAGUGCAGGCUGAUACUUGCAUUCAGUAGGACGGAACGUAGAAUAGUUUUGCAAAUGUAGUUACAAGCUGUAAAAAUCUUUCAUGUUUGAGAAUGUGCUUAAGCUCAGAGUAACCACAUGUAGCAUUUUUUCCCUGUCCUGUUUUCUUAAGAAACUGAAUUUGUGUUACUUGCUGAUCUGUGCUGCGUCUCUUCCCAGCAUUGUUACGUGUUAAUCAUUGCAGCAUCUUCUCCUGAGGAAGUUCUGUAACAACAGCAGGAUCUGGGGGGACAGGAGGGCAUCGGGUGGCAGGAGAAGCAAGGAAGGAUGAGCAGACAUUGGUCACCUUUGUCCCAGUGGCAAAUUGCACAAGUGUGAUUUUUAACCUACUGACUCAGGGCAGUGAAGCAGCAUCUGUGCUUUUCCUGUCUUACUUGGGAGCAGCACAUCCAGCUGGAGUCUGUUGCACUUCCUAUGCUCUUUGCUGAAUCCUUCUGCCAAGAACCCUGGUUUUGUUUGUUGCUCCCUCCAGUCCCCAUGCAGGCUGGUGCCCUUCCUGGCACCCUGGCACCUCCCAGUUUCCUGGCUGCUGCUGAGGCUGGGUCGGACCACCCUGUCCUCUCUGUCUGUUGGAGGCCAUUGCCAGGGCUCUGCCUUUCUCUCCAGUGUUGGUGGCUGUUUUAAAAUUGCUUCCUGUUUUCAAAAGGAAAUUUGCCUUUCAAAUCGUUAGUGUUUUUAAGACAUAUGGGAUCUCCUCUUAACCUCUCCCUGCCUUUUUUUUUUUUUCUUUAAUUCUUGUUCUUCAUUAACUUGGCUUUCAUCAGUGUCUUUGAGCCACCCAGUAAUUUCACUGAGUGAUGUGUGAAGAAUACAGCAUACAAUAGGUGAGAAGAUUGGAGCGGAAGUCAGUUGUGAUUUUAUUAUCCAUAUGCUACGACUGCAGCAGAAAUUGAGAAUACCCAAUUUUUUAAAUACUGUUUUGGUAACUUCUGUUACUUAGGUAGGAUGGGGAGAUGCUCACUUCAGCGUUACUGCAAUUUCUGAUGCUUUGCUUGAAAUAAAUCUUGAUCAUUUGUAUGAAGCUGCAGCGAAGAUGGAAGGCUGAUGUAAUUUCCAGUUGGGAAUACUCCUGCAAUGCGUGGAUUUGUUAGGGAGGACCAGCAUGGUACAGAAAAACAAUUUUCUUUCGGUUGAUUGGAAUCGUGUAGCAUAGUUCUGGGGGUAAUUUCAGGUAAGUUAAUUGGUAGGGAUUUCUGGCAAGACAGGUACUUUUUUCACAGAUGUGCUUUUUGUGGACUAGAUUGAUAAGCGUUCUUAUUACAAAGAGCUAAUUAAAACCAGUGUGGCAUGACUGGCAGCGCUGAGUGUGUUGCAACUUGGAAAGGGAUGAGACAGAACUGCGUAAACCUGGGCAAACUUGCAGGGCCAGGGAGUUCAAAGUCAGCGCACAGCAAAGGUAGAGUCAAAUCAGUGGUUGUUCAGGCUCCAACUGUGUGCAGCAGUGAGAUGUGAGCAUCUUAAAAAUGAGACUUACUACUUUUCUACCCUUAUCUACUGCAGUGAUGGGUCUUAAACGUAAGCUGACAACAUCUUGCACGUGAGGUAGCCCUUCACAUCUGCAAUUGAGGAAAAUUAUAACUUUUGGGCUCCGAUGAGAUCCUGUUGGUUUUUCAAUGUGACUUCCAACUCAAGCCUAAAUUGUUGCUUUCCUAUCCUACUCUUUCUCCCAUUGCCUCAUUGGUUGUGGUUUUCUCCUUGAUAAAAAUCUGGUGAAUGUACCAAUGUGUUCUGAGGGCCAGCCUUAGGAUCAGGCAGUGUCUGCUGGGCUGUCUGCAUGCACAGAGCCUUUCACACUGAUGUAGGUAGUUACACCAAGUUAAUAUAGUCCAUUGCGAAUAAAUUUCAUAAACAUCUAGGUUAGCUUGCAUCUAGCUGUGUGGAUGGAGUACACAUGGGAGACUUGAGGCUGCCUGCAAGGCUCCUGUGUUUUUCAGGAGGCGGUGCAGCUGGUCACAGAUCUAUCUGUGCACUCCCAUGGUAAAAUCAAAACCAAAACCCCAGAGACUGUUGUAGGCAGUGAGAGGUGGGAUGUGAGUCAGUGCUAACAACCGAAGUGUUUGUGGAAAUGUUGCCUAGUAAAGUUAUCAAAUAUUUUGGGGGCCAUCUGCUUAGUAGGGACUGCAACAAUUGACAGUGUCUACGGGAGUGCUUUUGGCAGUUCUUUAGCAGAGCAAUUAUGUCCCUGAAAACUUGGCUAGAGAAAUUACAAAGCUAGAUCAUACUUUUCCCCUCAUGCUGGUUCUCAAGUUUGACUGUCACGCUGUCCCAAAGUUCAGUGUGCAGUAGCUGAACACAUACAUUCUUACGUGUAUAAUUUUCUGGGUCCAACACUCUCUUUGCUCAGGUUUUUUAUUCCUGGGAGUUCUCCCCAAAACUGGUUGGCGUCUUUGUAGUGUGGCAUUCUACUGGGCAACCAGCUAAGUGGCACCUGAGGUUUAAAAUAGCAGAAACAUGUAUGAUGUCCUUAUGAUAUUCAUAAAUUUGAAAUAUUUCAAGAAGUAUUUGUACCUUUUUUGGGUGGUUCUUGCUGUUUCUUUACUUUAGAGAGCGCUUUAUCUUCUUCCCUGUGUCUCAGUGCAGUGUUGCUGUGUGAGUAUUUCCAGGGCAGCAGGGGGAAUGUUUACAUCCAAACAGAAUCUCUUUUCUUUGAAUUUUUUAAUUGCAAACAUUAGAUGCCAUAAAAUCCUUUUUACUCUUCGUCUUAAUUCUUUACAGAGUUCUGUGCAGAGUCAAAAAGAUAGCAUUCACUGCCAGUUUUUUGUUUUCCGAAUCUUGUGACGCUACUACUGGAUCUGCACCUACUUCAGCAGGUGUCAGAAAUGUCACUGUCCACUUUAAAUGACACUCCUAACGAACUAAAGUCAGGAAUGACUGUUUAAAAACUGAAAAAUAUGGUUUGCAUUUGCUUUAGAUAUUUCAAGCACGUGUUGUCCAUACUGUCCAUAAAUGCAAUGUUGGGGAUACGCUGCUAAGUUUGUUUGCAUGCGAAGCUUUAGGGUGUUCACGUGUGUGACUACUUCUUCAAAGGCAGAUGCAGGCAGCUGAAGGGCUGGUUGUGCUGACUGUAGCUGGUGGGGCUGCCAUCUCUAAGCUGCAAGGCAGCAUGGUGGCAGGGGCCCUGGACUGUGUCUUCCCCUAUAUAUACCCUAACUGGUAUAGGCAGGAGGCAGGACAAGGCAACUUCCUCAAAGUGUCUAACAGGUCAAGAGCUCUGACCUCCACUGCCCAGGCUUUCCACCCUCCCCUUUGUUGCUCUGGCCUUUAUCUUCCACCAUAGCUCCCUCUGCUACUCAGUUUGGGUUUUUUUUGUGGUGUUUGUUUGUUUUUUUCCCCCACUCUGUAACUGUCAAAUGUCAGUCAUGCUCUGGUCCUCGGAAGGAAGGAAGGAGCACUACUGUGCACGCAGAUAUUGUUCUCUACCAUUUGUGUGUCUCCUGGUGAUGAUGCAGCAUGCCAAACAGGCUUUUUUUCUUCUUAAAGCUGAGGGAUGAGGUUUAUACAACUAUUUAACAAGGAUUCUGGAGUUAGAAAUGUUUGCCAUCUUGAAUUCCUGGCAAUGGAAUACAGUUUGGUUCAAGGUUAGAAAAUGUGUGGGGUGCUUCUGCUCAGAGAGUGCAAGUGUGUAUCUUGUUGCCUUGGGUGUGAUGCAGAUAAUGAGAGAGACGGAUUUGAAGCAAUGGGUUUAUCAAAGUGCUCUGGAUUGAGAGAAGUAUUUCACAUUUCUCCCUUCCAUAUUAUUUUUCACAUUCUUUUUUUCUUCAUCAGCAAUCUCCCAUGUCUGAUGAGUGUUCUGUUAUGAGGUACUGGUGGAUAACAGGAGAAAUCUUCAUUACGUUUGAUCAUUACAGGAAAUGCGUGACUUUUUAUAUCUUCAAGAAUGGACAUUUUCCAUAAGAAACACAAUAAGUUUGGUGGUACUGAAGGGCAGAAAGGUGGCUUAAGGGGGUCCAGUCUAUCCUCUUCUUUCCCCCUAUGAAAAAGAAGAUUCAGCUACACAGCUUGAUGUGGUACAGGUCGGCGUAAAAACUUUGUGUAGAGUAUCUUGAGGAAGUUUGGUAACGAAAGGUAAAUAAAAGCACACGUCCUUACUGCUGUGCAGUGCCUCGCAGGCCUAUAUGUGAGCAGAAGCUCUGGUGGGCAAGUGGAGGUGGGCAGGCUGCUGGUGAUGCCACUCCACCAAGCAUGAGGGCACGUUGUGGAACUGGCUAUGGAAAGAUUGCUCCUCUUGCUGUUUCUUAGCAAGGACACAAAGUGCUUAGCUUGUAUAACUGGAACGUGCAACAAAUAACAAUGUACAACCUGCAGUUGCAAAUGCUUUUUUUGCUAGGAGAGGGGUGGUAAUUGGUAUACAACAUUUCUGAAAACGUGUAUUGUGUAUUAAACAUACUGACUGCAUGCAAAGGGGAAGGAAUAAAACUGACUCUUCCAGUGCAAACAAGGUACAGAAUUAUACAUUUACCUUUGGUAAGAUUACUUACUGUUUUGUGGCUUUGUUAGCAAGCGUUUAAAAACAGUAUUCCUUUUCUCAGUGCUGAAACCAUGGGAAACACAGUUCUAGCAUGUUACUACAGUGGGGGCAAGGCAAGUUGCUUGUGGCCCUGUGUUGUGCAGAGAUGCGUAUUGUCUCAGUUGUUCUUCAGAAUGGGGGGGAAUGGAUAAGUGCAGACUUCACGUACCUCUUGCAUGAGGAAGCUGUUAAUGUGGAGUUAUUCCCAACGUUAUAAAGAGCAAGAAACAAGACCUUGGACCACUUGGUUCCCUGUGAUUCACGACAGUUGAGCUGUUGGGCUCAGAGAUGGGUGUACCUUUGAUUCUCUUGGUCUCUCCAGCCCAUAGUCCCAUAGGAAUAAUGAAUUUACAGAAGCGUGGAAACCAAGAUAUCUGUCUUCUUUGCGGGAGGGAUAUAUUUUUUUUCCCCUCCCUGAUAUUUCUGCAGCUUCAGCCUUGAGGCCUUGUUCUGUGAAGCUGCUGGGAGACUCAUUGGAUCCAACCAACAGUAAGAGAUCUGCUGGGAUCCCUGAGUUCUUUCCCACAACAUCUGCCGCUCAAUGCUCAUGGUCUUCGACUCAUAAGCCCACCUCUGACCUCCACCUCAUGCCAAAUGUCCCACAUUUUAUAAUCGUAACCAGGGCUACAGCACUACAGAUUGUCUGCCAGCAGCAGUUUGUCUCCGUUUAUUCCACCAAUUUGGGGAGAGCAGAAGAAAAUGUGAGAAGAGAUGGCAGCAGAGGGGGAAAAUGUCACAACGGUGUCUGAUUUGGCAGUGCAGAUGAAGAAAAGAGUGGAAAUGCAUUCCUUCAUGCAGAAAAAAAAUGGAUCUGUCGACAACCACUGACACUUGCUGAAUGUUGGAGAUCAAGCAGUGGAUGCGAGCACAGUGAGAUGGUGGGUGGUGAAUUUCAGCAGUGGCAACAGUGACAGUGGAUCACCUCUGCUGGUGCAGAUCAUUAUGAACACAGCAUGCAGGCCCUUAUUCAUUGCUGUGAACAUAACAGCUAAUGGUGGGAUGGAUAUCAGCCCAUUACUUUAGAAAACAAAACGUCGUUUCAGCUCUUCCCAGCCUGCAAAAAUAGGCAGUGUGUGGGGAAAAGACUUGAGAAAAAUCAAGUGGUAGCAGGUGACAAAAAAGGAUGCACUGGAAGAGCACAAAGAAUCAAAAAUGUUAAAUAAGAAAUGGAGGAAAAGAGAAAAGAAAGCUUGCUGGGCUUAAAGAGUUCAUAGGAAAGAGGUGCCCUCCAAAAGCCAAGGAUUUCAUCCUUGUCUCUGCAGUAGGUUAAACUCAAGGACUGCAUACUACAUCAUGGGACUGCCUCCUUGCGAACACCUGCACCAAGAGAGUGGCUUUAAAAGAAGAGCAAC